GUUCUAGUGGUAGAGCAUUUGAAUCGGAGCGGGUUAAUAAGGGCGUAUAGCGUGACUGCGAUAAGCGUCGGGGAGAUGUCUAGCAAUCUUUGAUCCGGCGAUGUCCGAAUGAGGCAACUCAAUUCGAGUAAUGUCGAAUUACUUUACGAGUAACUGCGUAAAGAGUAAACCUGGGGAAGUAAAACAUUUCAGUACCCAGAGGAAAAGAAAACAAAAAUACAUUCCCUAAGUAGCGGCGAGCGAAAAGGGAUCAGCCCAAACCUCGUUCUACUAUCUAGAAUUUAUUCUUUGUAGUAGGGCGUGGGGUAGUAAGAAAUAGACUUUCCGGAGCGUAUAGCUAUGUUCCAGGAAGGGAGUUUAGAAAUAUAAAAGUUGUUUAAUGGAACGGUCCUGGAAAGGCCGGCCAAAGAGGGUAAUAGCCCCGUACUUGAAAAACCUUUUAUGCUCCUUGUCUAUUAUCUUGAGUACUUCGAGAACAAGAUAAGCUCGGAGGAAGCAGGGAGGACUACUCUCCUAAGGCUAAAUACUUCGAAACACCGAUAGUGAACUAGUACCGUGAGGGAAAGGUGAAAAGAAGCCCGGUGAGGGCAGUGAAAUAGUACCUGAAACCAUAUGCCUACAAGGAGUCGAAGUGGUUAUGUCGUAAGACGAACCAUAACGGCGUGCCUAUUGAAGAAUGAGCCAACGAGUUAUUGUGCAUUGCUAGUCUAAUCCCGUUCGCGGGAGGAGGCAUAGGGAAACCGAGUGUUAACAGCGCGCGAGCAGUGUGUAAUAGACCCGAAGCCGGGUGAGCUACCCCAGAUCAGGUUGAAUGUCUCCGAAAGGAGGCAGGAGGACCGAACCGGUUGGUCGUACAACGCCAUCGGAUGAAUUUGGGGUAGGAGUGAAAAGCUAAUCGAACCCGGGAAUAGCUGGUUCUCUCCGAAAUAGCUUUUGGGCUAGCGUCCAGUUUAUCUUUGCAGGUAGAGCUACUGGAAGGUUCGUAAAGGGAGAAAUCUCGACGGACCUACCAAACUCCGAAUGGCAGAGGUUUUAGCUGGCCAGUCAGACUACGGGGGCUAAGCUCCGUCGGUCAAAAGGGCAACAGCCCGGAUCUCAAUCUAAGGCCCCUAAAUUGUGUCUAAGUGUAAGUGAGGCGGUGAGGUUUCUAUAACAGCGAGGAGGUUGGCUUAGAAGCAGCAAUCCUUGAAAGAGUGCGUAACAGCUCACUCGUCAAGAGACCUUGCGCCGCAGAUGAUCGGGACUAAGACACAUGCCGAAGGUGAGGAAUUUUCUUCGAAGUUGUCUACAAGGAAAUAGCGAAGCGCGGGGUAGAUCGAAAGCAAAUUCCACCGCAUAUCCACAAAAAACUCUUCUCGGAAGUUCAAGAGGCAACGAGAAACUUGUCAAAAGAAUUGCAAUCAGCAAUCUUUGAAAUGACCAGAACAGGCGUAAUGAAAGAUUUCCCAUAGAAAGGAGAACGCGAUGGCAGAGAAACUGAAACCGUUUGAGCAGAGAGUGAAAGAUAUAUUCGAUGCGGAAUUUUUUAGCGUUAGGUGGAAUCGGGAAGGUUGGCCACUGGAAGCAGAACAUGCGCUCGGCCGCGCAUUGACGCGAAUUGCGGGAGAUUUGGAGUAUCUUUAUCAGAAGACGCCAGGCGCAAAGAAAGAGCCGUCAGUAGAUGAGAUGAUAGAAGCUCUACGUCGAGAUCUGCUGGAUGAAAAAUUCCAAACCGAUAACGUCCGUUGGGUAAAAACGCCAGCUGAAUAGUUCCAAAGAUCAUAAAUGGCAACUCUGAGCAGAGAUGUUCAGAGUUGCCUCCAAAAUUCAAGCACCAAUUGGUAGGAGAGCGUUCCAUUCGCAGCGAAGCCAAAGGCGUGAGCCAUGGUGGAGCGUAUGGAAGUGAGAAUGUUGGCACAAGUAACCACAACUCGGGUGAAUGAUUGUCAGCCAAGGGUUAGUCGGUCCUAAGUCGAUGACGAAAGUCGCAGAUGAAGGGCACACGGUUAAUAUUCCGUGACUUCCUUAUUUUUUGAUGAAGGGACGAAGAUUAGUAUGCUCUGCGCGUUAUUGGAUUCGCGUUUGGAGAGGGAGGGGUGAGUGUAGGAAAAUCCGCACUCGGCCUUUUGGCAACUCUUAUCUCUUUGAAAAUUCUCUCCUUCGGGAUGGGAAAUAGAGCAAAGCAGUCUUCCAAGAAAAUCUUCUAAAAUUAUGAAUAGGGAAACCGUACCGAAAACCGACACAGGUGGGCGAGGCGAGUAGCCUCAGGUGAACGAGUGAGAGAUCCUCAAGGAACUCGGCAAAAAAGCGGCCGUAACUUCGGGAUAAGGCCUCCCCGUUAGAUAGCGCGCAAGCGCCCAUCUAAUGGGGCGCAGCGAAAGUACCCCUGGCGACUGUUUAUCAAAAACACAGCUCCCUGCGAACACGUAAGUGGAUGUAUAGGGGGUGACGCCUGACCAAUGCGAGAAGGUUAACGAUGGCGGUGGUAUGUAGCAAUAUGUACUGCUGACUGUCCGAAGCCCUCGUCAAUGUCGGCCGUAACUAUAACGGUCCUAAGGUAGCGCAAUUCCUUGUCGGGUGAGUUCCGACGCGCACGAAAGGCGUAACGACUGGGGGACUGUCUCGAGGAUUCGCUCGGUGAAAAUACAAUACCGGUGAAGAUGCCGGUUAGGUGCAGU
rfam:Parcubacteria (Giovannonibacteria) bacterium GW2011_GWB1_45_9b TX24_C0016, whole genome shotgun sequence.